rnacentral:rRNA from 1 species
AUUGAACGCUGGCGGCAGGCCUAACACAUGCAAGUCGAACGAGUGGCGGACGGGUGAGUAAUGUCUGGGAAACUGCCCGAUGGAGGGGGAUAACUACUGGAAACGGUAGCUAAUACCGCAUACCAUCGGAUGUGCCCAGAUGGGCUUAGCUUGUAGGUGCGGUAACGGCUCACCUAGGCGACGAUCCCUAGCUGGUCUGCGAGGAUGACCAGCCACACUGGAACUGAGACACGGUCCAGACUCCUACGGUAGGCAGCAGGGGGGAAUAUGGAGCAAUGGGCGCAAGCCUGAUGCAGCCAUGCCGCGGGGAUGAAGAGGGCCUUCGGUGUGUAAAGUACUUUCAGCGGGGAGGCGUUACCCGCAGAAGAAGCACCGGCUAACUCCGUGCCAGAAGCCGCGGUAAUAC